AGAGUUUGAUCAUGGCUCAGAACGAACGCUGGCGGCGUGGAUAAGACAUGCAAGUCGAGCGGGAUUUUCCGUUGUAGCAAUACAGUGGAAAAUUCAGCGGCGAACGGGUGCGUAACACGUGGGCAAUCUGCCUUAAAGUGUGGGAUAGCUCGGCGAAAGCCGAAUUAAUACCGCAUGUGGCUACUGGAGACAUCUUCGGGACGCUAAAGGUGGCGCAAGCUACCGCUUUUUGAGGAGCCCGCGGCCUAUCAGCUUGUUGGUGAGGUAACGGCUCACCAAGGCGUUGACGGGUAGCUGGUCUGAGAGGACGACCAGCCACACUGGGACUGAGACACGGCCCAGACACCUACGGGUGGCAGCAGUCGAGAAUUUUUGACAAUGGGGGAAACCCUGAUCGAGCGACGCCGCGUGGAGGAUGAAGGUCUUCGGGUUGUAAACUCCUGUCAUUUGAGAACAAGGCGCAUGUAUUAACUGUACAUGCGUUGAUAGUAUCAGAAGAGGAAGGGACGGCUAACUCUGUGCCAGCAGCCGCGGUAAUACAGAGGUCUCAAGCGUUGUUCGGAUUCAUUGGGCGUAAAGGGUGUGUAGGUGGCGCGUUAAGUCGGGUGUGAAAUUUCGGAGCUUAACUCCGAAACUGCAUUCGAUACUGGCGUGCUUGAGGACUGGAGAGGAGACUGGAAUUUACGGUGUAGCAGUGAAAUGCGUAGAUAUCGUAAGGAAGACCAGUGGCGAAGGCGGGUCUCUGGACAGUUCCUGACACUGAGACACGAAGGCCAGGGGAGCAAACGGGAUUAGAUACCCUAGUAGUCC
rnacentral:rRNA from 1 species